rnacentral:tRNA from 1 species
GGGCGAUUAGUUUAACGAAAACACUUGAUUUCGGCUCAGGCACUCGUGGUUAAAGUCCACGAUCACCCU